GAUGAACGCUAGCGGCAGGCCUAAUACAUGCAAGUCGAACGAUACCAGAGAGCUUGCUUUCUGGGAAAGUGGCGCACGGGUGCGUAACGCGUAUGCAACCUACCUUAAUCAGGGGGAUAGCCUCUCGAAAGAGAGAUUAACACCGCAUAAAAUCACACUUCGGCAUCGAAGAAUGAUCAAAUAUUUAUAGGAUUAAGAUGGGCAUGCGUGACAUUAGUUUGUUGGUGAGGUAACGGCUCACCAAGACUACGAUGUCUAGGGGAUCUGAGAGGAUGACCCCCCACACUGGUACUGAGACACGGACCAGACUCCUACGGGAGGCAGCAGUAAGGAAUAUUGGUCAAUGGGGGCAACCCUGAACCAGCCAUGCCGCGUGCAGGAAGACGGCCCUACGGGUUGUAAACUGCUUUUAACGGGAAUAAAUCUCGCUACGUGUAGUGAGUUGAAUGUACUGUAAGAAUAAGGAUCGGCUAACUCCGUGCCAGC
rnacentral:rRNA from 1 species